UCUCCCAAGUCCACCCCAGCACACCUGAAGAACAUCUGUGACUAGGAUAUGUGCCUGUGACGAGCUGGGGAGGAUGUACAAUCACUGCUAUUGGGAGGACCAGAGUCUGUAGUUCCAGAUGGUGCAUGUGGCUACCAGCAUGCUCAGGGUUAGGGGUCCCAAGAUGAUUCUUUCAAAGAUGCUUUGUGGUCUCAGGGUGAAAUCUUGACUCCAUCGAAGAGAAGUGCAAUUGUUGAUAGAAAUGGGAUGAGCCUUCGAAGUGCACAAAUGGUACAGAUUUGUAAGCAGUGACUCUCUUGGGAACAACAGAUCCCAAGGGAUUUCUGGAAGAUGUUUAUGAGACAAAAACUCUUCUGCCUGCAGAGAGCAUAUUUCAAGGGCUG